UACGGGGGGGGCAAGCGUUGUUCGGAAUUACUGGGCGUAAGGAGGCUCGUGAGCGGCCAACUAAGUCAGACGUGAAAUCCCUCGGCUUAACCGGGGAACUGCGUCUGAUACUGGAUGGCUUGAGUUUGGGAGAGGGAUGCGGAAUUCCAGGUGUAGCGGUGAAAUGCGUAGAUAUCUGGAGGAACACCGGUGGCGAAGGCGGCAUCCUGGACCAACACUGACGCUGAGUGAGCGAAAGCCAGGGGAGCAAACGGG
rnacentral:rRNA from 1 species